rnacentral:rRNA from 1 species
GAUGAACGCUGGCGGCGUGCCUAAUACAUGCAAGUCGAGCGAACAGACGAGGAGCUUGCUCCUCUGACGUUAGCGGCGGACGGGUGAGUAACACGUGGAUAACCUACCUAUAAGACUGAGAUAACUUCGGGAAACCGGAGCUAAUACCGGAUAAUAUAUUGAACCACAUGGUUCAAUAGUGAAAGACGGUUUUGCUGUCACUUAUAGAUGGAUCCGCGCCGCAUUAGCUAGUUGGUAAGGUAACGGCUUACCAAGGCAACGAUGCGUAGCCGACCUGAGAGGGUGAUCGGCCACACUGGAACUGAGACACGGUCCAGACUCCUACGGGAGGCAGCAGUAGGGAAUCUUCCGCAAUGGGCGAAAGCCUGACGGAGCAACGCCGCGUGAGUGAUGAAGGUCUUCGGAUCGUAAAACUCUGUUAUUAGGGAAGAACAAAUGUGUAAGUAACUAUGCACGUCUUGACGGUACCUAAUCAGAAAGCCACGGCUAACUACGUG